rnacentral:rRNA from 1 species
UACAGAGGGUGCAAGCGUUGCUCGGAUUUACUGGGCGUAAAGCGUACGCAGACGGCAUGAAAGGUCGGACGUGAAAGCCCCCGGGCUCAACCCGGGAAAUGCGUCCGAAACCAUCUAGCUCGAGUAUGAGAGAGGGAAGCGGAAUUCCUGGUGUAGAGGUGAAAUUCGUAGAUAUCAGGAGGAACAUCUGCGGCGAAGGCGGCUUCCUGGCUCAUUACUGACGUUCAGGUACGAAAAGCGUGGGUUAGCAAACA